rnacentral:rRNA from 1 species
UACGGAGGGUGCAAGCGUUAUCCGGAUUUACUGGGUUUAAAGGGUGUGUAGGCGGGUCUUUAAGGCAGUGGUGAAAUCUCCGAGCUCAACUUGGAAACUGCCAUUGAUACUAUUGAUCUUGAAUUCUGUUGAGGUGGGCGGAAUAAGUCAUGUAGCGGUGAAAUGCAUAGAUAUGACUUAGAACACCAAUUGCGAAGGCAGCUCAUUAAGCAGAUAUUGACGCUGAGGCACGAAAGCGUGGGGAUCAAACAGG